rnacentral:rRNA from 1 species
CUACGGGAGGCAGCAGUCGAGGAAAUUUUUCAAUGCCCGCAAGGGUGAACGAGUAAGCCAGAGUGUUUUCUUUACGAAAACUUUUGUCUGUUGUAAAAAGACAGACGAAUAAGGACUGGGCAAGACCGGUGCCAGCCGCCGCGGUAAUCCCGGCGGUCCAAGUCGCAUCCACAUUUAUUGGGUCUAAAACAUCCGUAGCUUGUUUUAUAAGUCUCUUGUGAAAUCCCAUAUCUCAAAUAUGGAACAUGCAAGAGAUACUAUAUUGCUAGAGACCGGAAGACGCAAAGAGUACGUAGGAGGUAGCGGUAAAAUGUGUUAAUCUUCUUCGGACUAACAAUGGCGAAGGCACUUUGCGAGUACGGAUCUGACAGUGAGGGAUGAAGGCUAGGGGCGCAAAAGGGAUUAGAUACCCGGGUAGUC